ensembl:lncRNA
AUUCCGUUAAAUCCUCGUCCUCGUUUUGAACGUCUCACUCAGUGUGUUCUUUCUGAUUAACUCUUAAUUGAGAUCACCUGUCACACACCCCUUUAUUAAAGGUGAACACAAUGGGUUUGGUUUACUUUUCGCAUCGGCCUGUGUCAAUCGAGGUUGAGUUUAGUGAGGGUUGAAAGUUUUCGAUCUAGAUUGCAGAUCACUAUUGUCACUUUAUACAAACUGAAAGUAUGCGUUGUUGCGUGUUUGUUUUUGUGGGCAUUUGACUGAACAGGCCAGACAAAUAUUGCUACCAACAUGGCACUUCGAAACAGACCACCGCAGUGAGUGUUAGAUGACUUACAAGAUCUAUGGGGGGGCCCCCUUUGGGCCCCCCCAUACCAACUUAGUCUUCAAAGGAAUCUAGUGCCAUGGGACUCCAGUGUCUUCAAAACAUCCUCGGAAUACAUGUGUAUGAAUGGUCCACCGAAGGGUUGAUCUGGAAGCCACCACGGUCCACGCAGUAAUCUGCUGCGUGGGCCGUAGUGGCUUCGAGAGCCAUCUUUCGGUCUUGGUCAGGAUUUGUUACAGUUGCCCUUCAAUGUAGCAGGCUACGGGUUUCUAAAGAAGCCUGCUUUACGUAGCAUUGGAGUACAAAUAUUGUGCAAAAUGCUCAUGUAAUUGCACUAGCACUAGUAACCUGUAGAUUAGCUUAGUUUAACGUCAUUCCGUGCUGUCUGUCAAAUGUGUGGCUUACUUUAAGUCCACAAGGCCCUCUGGUAAACCACGUUGGAACACCCCUGGACAAGGUGAUUAGUCACUGGGUGUGUGCUAAAGUUUUGUUCCAUUUUUCACUAGUUGGUUAAGGUUUGGUAGAAUUUUUUUGGAUGCUAGAGACGUGAUGGCGUAUGUACAAGAGCCUACCGUGGCCAGGCCACAGUUGCGACGGCCACGGCCAGAUGGCCUAGUGUGAGUGCAACCUUGAUUGCAUUUGUAUACUGUUUACCAUUGGAUGUUUAUGCAAUUUGGCUUAAUUCAUCCGCAGUAAAGCUGCAUUUGACUAUUCCAGGGUCGUUUUGUACAGGCUUUCAAUUGACCAUGUUGACUAGUUUGUGGGAAGUUUUUUUUUAUUUUACCCUUGCUUACAAUCCAACGGUUGUGACCACUUAUGCAACUGGGCUGUGAACCUUGCAAUUCUAGUUGCAUAUUUGUACACGCAAGCGUGUCCAUUUCUAUCACCAUCACUAACACUAGCUUCCUUGUAGGCCAUUAGCUGACUUGUGUAUUGGAGCGAUGAUUUGGGUAUUAAGAUGCUUGAAAACCUAAAAUAAAGCAAAAUGCGUGUCUGGUGUGCAAGAGCCAAUUUGUUGGCUUGCAGUAGUCGAGGAGUUGCCGUAGGUCGUAAGCCAUCUGGAGGUUGUGGCAAUGGAGGCUUGUGGUAAAUCUGCCAUUCAAGAAAGGUUAAUUCUUCUGAAGCAUGAUUAAUAGUUUAGUAAAUUGAAUCUAGUCAUAUAGAACUAUAAAAUCCAAGACUGCAGCCAGUAACUUGGAUCGCAAUAUGUGGAAAGUAUUAGUCUUCAUUUGUAACAACAGAAUAAUUAACAUGACUAACUGGGUUUCUUCCAUUUUCUAACUAGGGGGACUUGACUGGUGAGUCUACUGGAUUAAUCAGUAGCGGUACUUUGCCCAACAUGCUGCAAAUUUACUUUUUGUAGUUGCUCCAUAUUUAGUUCUUUGACAGCCUCACCUGCUAGAAAAGUCUAUUCAAAUCGGCUAAAUAUAAUGAACUAAAUUAAUAGCCAUGAAAUGUUGUCACUCAUACUAAUGGCAAAUACCCUCUUUCAGUUGGUGGUUCAACACUGAUGUCUCUCUAGGCUUGAGGGAGAGCUCACAAGUAAAUUACACGAAUGUUCUGGAGCAAUUGGGAAUACACUUUUAUUUAGUCUAUCUGACCAGGGACAUCUUUGAACUAUAGGUCACCUAACCCAAACUUUUCAUUGUUUAGGUUGUCCUUUUCUCUUGUUUUAACCCGAAAGGGCUGAAAUAUCAACAUUUCAGGUAUUCUGUUUGGAUAAUGUGCAAAACUUGUGGCUUCACUAAUAAAAAAAAUUAACAAAUGUAUUUUUCUUAAUGUG